rnacentral:rRNA from 1 species
CACGUAGUUAGCCGUGGCUUUCUGAUUAGGUACCGCCAAGACGUGCGCAGUUACUUACACAUUUGUUCUUCCCUAAUAACAGAGUUUUACGAUCCGAAGACCUUCAUCACUCACGCGGCGUUGCUCCGUCAGGCUUUCGCCCAUUGCGGAAGAUUCCCUACUGCUGCCUCCCGUAGGAGUCUGGACCGUGUCUCAGUUCCAGUGUGGCCGAUCACCCUCUCAGGUCGGCUACGUAUCGUUGCCUUGGUAAGCCAUUACCCCACCAACUAGCUAAUACGGCGCGGGUCCAUCUAUAAGUGAUAGCAAAACCAUCUUUCACUUUAGAACCAUGCGGUUCUAAAUAUUAUCCGGCAUUAGCCCCGGUUUCCCGGAGUUAUUCCAGUCUUAUAGGUAGGUUACCCACGUGUUACUCACCCGUCCGCCGCUAACGUCAAAAGGAGCAAGCUCCUUAUCUGUUCGCUCGACUUGCAUGUAUUAGGCUACGCCGCCAGCGUUCAUCCUGACGCCAGGACUACAAACUCUACCG